rnacentral:rRNA from 1 species
UACGUAGGGGGCUAGCGUUGUCCGGAAUCAUUGGGCGUAAAGCGCGUGUAGGCGGUCCGGUGAGUCCGCUGUGAAAGUCGGGGGCUCAACCCUCGAAUGCCGGUGGAUACUGUCGGGCUAGAGUGCGGAAGAGGCGAGUGGAAUUCCUGGUGUAGCGGUGAAAUGCGCAGAUAUCAGGAGGAACACCAAUUGCGAAGGCAGCUCGCUGGGACGUUACUGACGCUGAGACGCGAAAGCGUGGGGAGCAAACAGG